rnacentral:rRNA from 1 species
UUAAGCGACUAAGCGUACACGGUGGAUGCCCUGGCAGUCAGAGGCGAUGAAGGACGUGCUAAUCUGCGAUAAGCGCCGGUAAGGUGAUAUGAACCGUUAUAACCGGCGAUUUCCGAAUGGGGAAACCCAGUGUGAUUCGUCACACUAUCAUUAACUGAAUCCAUAGGUUAAUGAGGCGAACCGGGGGAACUGAAACAUCUAAGUACCCCGAGGAAAAGAAAUCAACCGAGAUUCCCCCAGUAGCGGCGAGCGAACGGGGAGGAGCCCAGAGCCUGAAUCAGCAUGUGUGUUAGUGGAAGCGUCUGGAAAGGCGCGCGAUACAGGGUGACAGCCCCGUACACAAAAGCGCAUGUGCUGUGAGCUCGAUGAGUAGGGCGGGACACGUGGUAUCCUGUCUGAAUAUGGGGGGACCAUCCUCCAAGGCUAAAUACUCCUGACUGACCGAUAGUGAACCAGUACCGUGAGGGAAAGGCGAAAAGAACCCCGGCGAGGGGAGUGAAAAAGAACCUGAAACCGUGU